rnacentral:lncRNA from 1 species
GCUGCAAAACUCCGGGCACGGCCACGAUGUGAAACCGGAAGCCUACGGAGCCGAGCGAGGGCCUCCCGCUGCCGGCCGGGACGCGGUUCCCCCUCCCCGGGGUGGUUGUGUAAUGCACGGCCCCCGCCUGGGGAGCAACCCCGCGCCCCGCCCGGCGGCCAACCCCGCGUACCUGUCCCGCAGGCGGGCAGCGGGCAGCCCGGAGCCACCUGCCGUGCCGGAGCCACCUGCGCUGCGCUACACCCCGGGUGUCCCGCGGCACCGCCCGCCUCUCCUGCGCUCAGCCGGGCUCGCGGUGAACAGCAGCAAGUCGCAACGCUGCUCACCCCGCCCCGGGGGAGCCGCUCGGUCCGCUCCACGCGGCGCACCACCUCCCGCAACUCCCCGCCGGAAGGAAAAGCAAUAAUAAACCUAAGCGAAGCAGUAAACGGCAACGCACCGGCGUCUCCUUCUGGCUUGAGGCGCUCCGGGGGCUGCGCGCUGCAUCCGCCGCGGGCGGGGGCAGCUGGGGAGCGGACGGGCAGCCCCUCUCUCCUGGCGGCAGGGGGAAGGCUGGCGGCCGAGAGAGGUGAUCCGCGCCGCGCUCCGCAGCGUGCGGCUCCCUUCCUCCGUCCGAAGCGGCUCCUCCCGCUCGCUGCUGGCGCUCCGGGGUCGUGCCUGCGGGUCGCUGUCUCGCCGCCUCCUUGCCCCGCGCUCUCCCUCCCUUCCCUCGCUCAGCUCGGUGCUCCGGCCGCGGCCCCCGCUACCUGUGCCGGAGGUGCGUCCCGGCGGCUGCAGCGCCGCUCCCCGCCGCGCACGGCAGUCUCCGACCAGGAAGAGGCAGCGGGAGGGGGCACCGCCGUGCCCCGCAGCUCGCUCCGCCGGGAGGAGCCGGGGCGGAUGAGCCCCUUCAGCCCCGCGGGGAGGCCGGGCGUCCUGCUGCUCAGCUCGGGACAAAGGAGCGAGGUCGGGGGCGCGGACUUGCCCCUAGGGCUCCGACUUUCCCCUGGGGCGUGGGAGUUCCUGCCACCGGCUGCGGGGAGGCUGAUAGCUGCCCUUUGCGGUGUGACAGCCCUGGGUACCCCUCACUCAGGCAGUUGGCCUCAUGGAGAAAAAUCAAAGUUGUGUGCCAGCAAAUGUAACUCUGUGCUGUGCCUGGUCAGACAGAGACCGUUGGCGUAA